rnacentral:rRNA from 1 species
GACGGGGGGGGCAAGCGUUGUUCGGAAUUACUGGGCGUAAAGGGCGCGCAGGCGGGUGAACAAGUCUCUCGUGAAAGCCCACGGCUCAACCGUGGAAUUGCGGCAGAUACUGUUCGUCUUGAGUCCGGGAGAGGAGAGUGGAAUUCCCAGUGUAGCGGUGAAAUGCGUAGAUAUUGGGAGGAACACCGGUGGCGAAGGCGGCUCUCUGGACCGGAACUGACGCUGAGGCGCGAAAGCUAGGGUAGCAAACGGG